rnacentral:rRNA from 1 species
CGGGUGAGUACCGCGUGGUAAUCUACCGUGCCCUACGGAAUAGCUCCGGGAAACUGGAAUUAAUACCGUAUACGCCCUACGGGGGAAAGAUUUAUCGGGGUAUGAUGAGCCCGCGUUGGAUUAGCUAGUUGGUGGGGUAAAGGCCUACCAAGGCGACGAUCCAUAGCUGGUCUGAGAGGACGAUCAGCCACAUUGGGACCGAGACACGGCCCAAACUCCUACGGUCGGCAGCAGUGGGGAAUUUUGGACAAUGGGCGCAAGCCUCGAUCCAGCCAUGCCGCGUGAGUGAUGAAGGUCUUAGGAUUGUAAAGCUCUUUCACCGGUGAAGAUAAUGACGGUAACCGGAGAAGAAGCCCCGGCUAACUUCGUGCCAGCAGCCGCCGUAAUACGAAAGAUGCUAGCGUUGUUCGGAAUUACUGGGCGUAAAGCGCACGUAGGCGGUUAUUUAAGUCAGGGGUGAAAUCCCAGAGCUCAACUCUGGAACUGCCUUUGAUACUGGGUAUCUUGAGUAUGGAAGUGGUGAGUGGAAUUCCAGAGUGUAGAGGUGAAAAUUCGUACGAUAUUCGGCGGAACACCAGUGGCGAAGGCCGCUCA